rnacentral:RNase_P_RNA from 2 species
AAAGCGGGUCAGACAAUCGCUGCUUCCCGGCAUGCUGAUCAACGGAGAUGUUUGACAGCGCCGGGCGUAGAGGAAAGUCCGGACUCCAUAGGACAGGGUGAUGGCUAACGGCCAUCCGCGGCAACGCGCGGAACAGGGCAACAGAAAGUAAACCGCCGAUGGCCGGAUAUUUGCUUCGGCUCAGGCAAGGGUGAAACGGUGCGGUAAGCGCGCACCGCGACUGCGGUAACGCAGUUGGCACGGUAACCUCCACCUGGAGCAAUUCCAAACAGCGGGCGCGCAUCGUUUGCGAUGCAGGCGUGGUCCGCGUCGCCUGCGGGUAGGAAGCUUGAGCGCGCCAGCAAUGGCGCGCCCAGACGAAUGAUUGUCACGCGCAGUUUUUGCUGCGCGCACAGAAUCCGGCUUAUCGGCCCGCUUUGCAC